rnacentral:lncRNA from 1 species
GUGAACCUCACUGAAGGUCUUUCAGACGAUGCAUCCCUAUCUGAUGCGUGAGCUUCCUGAACGUCGAGGUAGGAAGUGACUUGGUAAAUAAGUCUGCUGAAUUGUCACUUGAAUGCAAUUGGACCACUUGGACCUCGCCGGCUUUCUGAAGUUCAUGCGUGAAGAAGAACUUGGGCAAGAUGUGCUUCAUCCUAUCUCCUUUGAUGUAGCCGUCUUUGAGUUGAGCAAUGCAUGCUGCAUUGUCC